rnacentral:hammerhead_ribozyme from 1 species
AUCUAGUUGAUGAGUCCAAAAUAGCACGUAAUGCGCAUCCAGGAU